CACAAUACAUGACUUCACCCAUAGGUUUGCCCGUAUUUUCCAAUCAACCCUUGUUUCAGCUCAUUUAAGAUCAAAAAGGUCUUUAAAGGCUUGUAAUGGGGAAAAGUGCAAGGCUAUGGUUAUUUAGGCUCAAUGGUUAUAGUCCUCAUGAAAUGUGGUGUGUCAUUCAUGCUCACAAGUCAUCCCAUUAUUCACUUUUCAUGGACUGGUGGAAAACCUGUGUCUUUUUGCAUUUUCACAACCUUACCCCGCAACUUUUUCUUUCUUUUUAUUUUUUAUUCUUUCCUUAUUUUUUAUGGAGGGGUUCCAUUUUUUUCAAAAAACCAUGGGUCAAAGAGGAAUUUCUUGCAUUUAUUGAUUUACCUAUCUCUUUUCACCAAACCCCCAACUUAGGCUUUUGGCCUAAGUUGACUAUUCAAACAAACCUAUUCUGUUAUCCUUCACUUGAAUCAUCCAAAUCCCUAAGUGGCACUCAUCAACAAAUUUUAUUAAAGUAUUUCUGCUUGAAGUGGUGUCUAAUAUUUCCUUUAUUUAUGCAAAAUAUGCCUGUUGUAAAAUGUAAGAGCUUUGAUCUUUGGUGCUAUUUGGGCACUUUUUGGGAAGCGUGUAUGGUUUUUUCCCAGCAUUCUGACCGAGAAAGCAGCACUGCAAGAUUUGUUCCAAGUUUGGCCUCAGAAGUAUGAAGACGAGCGGCCUAAGUGGACAUCAAGGCUUUUCUAUUCCAUAGUAGCUGUGGUUGUUAUUUUACUCCUGAGGCAUCAUGCUCCUUACGAGGCUGCAAGAGCCAGCAAACGUGCCAUCGACUUCGACUCGUUCGCAACUCUAGCCAUUCUUCAGCAU